CAACCUAUUCAGCGAUGAAUAGCUGAACUGUUAGAAGUCAGCAGAGGUCAUAGUACUACGAAAUAC
rnacentral:misc_RNA from 1 species